AUGCACGCUGGCGGCGUGCCUAAUACCUGCCAGUCGCGCGAACAGACGAGGAGCUUGCUCCUCUGACGUUAGCGGCGGACGGGUGAGUAACACGUGGAUAACCUACCUAUAGGACUGGGAUAACUUCGGGAAACCGGAGCUAAUACCGGAUAAUAUAUUUAACCGCAUGGUUCAAUAGUGAAAGACGGUUUUGCUGUCACUUAUAGAUGGAUCCGCGCCGCAUUAGCUAGUUGGUAAGGUAACGGCUUACCAAGGCAACGAUGCGUAGCCGACCUGAGAGGGUGAUCGGCCACACUGGAACUGAGACACGGUCCAGACUCCUACGGGAGGCAGCAGUAGGGAAUCUUCCGCAAUGGGCGAAAGCCUGACGGAGCAACGCCGCGUGAGUGAUGAAGGUCUUCGGAUCGUAAAACUCUGUUAUUAGGGAAGAACAAAUGUGUAAGUAACUAUGCACGUCUUGACGGUACCUAAUCAGAAAGCCACGGCUAACUACGUG
rnacentral:rRNA from 1 species